UACGUAGGCAGCAAGCGUUGUUCGGAAUUACUGGGCGUAAAGAGUGUGUAGGCGGUUUUCAAGUUUGGUGUGAAAUCUCCCGGCUCAACUGGGAGGGUGCGCCGAAUACUGAAUGACUAGAGUGCGGGAGAGGAUAGUGGAAUUCCUGGUGUAGCGGUGAAAUGCGUAGAUAAUCAGGAGGAACACCGGUGGUGUAGACGGCUAUCUGGACCGUAACUGACGCUGAGGCACGAAAGCGUGGGUAGCAAACAGGG
rnacentral:rRNA from 1 species